UAUUGUGAUGCAAACACCAAGGGAGUGGGAAGCAGCCUGAGAGCCAAGGAGACAGCACCUAGGAGAGCUCACUCACAGUCCAGAGAGGAGGCAGGGAGCCUGGAAUGAAAAGACCUCUGAAGAGUAUCUAGUAAAUCCGCAUCAGGUUCCUGCAGAGAGUCACGGACGACUUCUUUCUGGGUCUGGAGCUGGAGCGGUGAUGUCCAGGACAGAAGCUGCGAGGUAAGGGGCACAGAAGCCUGUUGUGGGAGGGUCUGAUGCUUUGUAUUUUCCUCUUAGGGUCGAAGGCAACGUGUCAGCCUACGGCAGGUAAAGGGGAGACCUGCUUAUGGUCACACCCCCCCGUAGAGGGUUGGAAGGUGUUUGGGGAGGGCUAGGCAGGGCUCUUGUCUCCAGAGGCUGAGUAGGAGGACCCUGGCCUCCUGACCUGUCCCCCCAGCAGGCUGAGUGCACUUCAUCCCCUGCUUCCUGGUUCAUUCUGUGGCUCAGAGGCCAGGUAAGUGGUUCUGGGAGAGGAAGUCCCAGGAGUGAUAAGGAGGAUGUUGCUGGGAGGUCUUUCUCUCCCAGAAGAAUUACAACCCAGGCUGCUUACGAGGAACUGGACAUCUUACCCUCCCGGAAAACCAGGAGGUAAGGAGCUUCCUGCCCUGGGGAAGGGAAAGAGGAAGUCCUAUUUUCCCAGAUGUCCUCAGGUCAGUUGAGAAGAAGGAGGGCAGUGGUGUGGAUCUGUCCAGGUGUUUGGAGAAAGUGAUGGCCACUCUCAGGCUGAAAGCACCUCCUCGCACACAGGUAGGUCUUUGAUGUCAACAUGUGAGCAGGUGUGAACACAUGCCCAGGAUGCACAGUUGGCGAGAACUGACCACUGUGGCCAUUGUAUGUGUUCCUUUCCCUCUACCUGUUAUGGGAAGGAAUGUAGGGAGGUGAGGCCGCUCAGACCUGGAGGACAUGGUAAGGGCUAUUUCAACUGUUCAUUUUUGCAUUGAUUCUGUGUGUGGUUCUUUAUGUGAGCUGGGAAGAGCCUGAGACAGAAGACGACAGAGGAGGACCUUGGAGCAUCUGGGGGAUGGCAGGCCUUGCUGUCUUUGCCACAGAAAGUGCACCGUCCCUCCCUGGGUUUGGAAUGCACGAGAGCCUGCUGUCCUCACCUGGAGGAGUCUUCUUACUGCAUAGCAGCAGACUUGGCACAGGAGAGGGAGAUGCAGAGGCUGGACCUAUCAGGCCAGGGAGCUAGCUUCUGGAGACUUCAAUCAGAAGGGGUCCACUGGAAACAUGGCUCCUCUCAGCCUCUUUGCUGAUUCCGGGUGGAAGGUAUUUAAUCCCUCCCUCUCUCCAGGUACGGUUUACAAACAGGCACUGAGAACCCAGCAGCAAGAAGUUUUCCCUGAUAUUCUUUUUGGGUGCAGGCACAGGACUGGGGAUGGAACCCAGCGAUGCUUUACCUCUGAUCUGCAUUCCUCGUCCUUUUCAUUUUUUAUCGAGAAAGGGUCUUGCUGAGUUGCGAAGGCUGGUCUGGAACUUGCAAUCUGCCUUCUUCAGCCUCCCGAGAAGCUGACAUUACAGGCUUGUGUCACCAAGCCCAUCGGGAAGUUGGCUCUGAAAGCCAUAAAGGGGCUGUUGACCCUCACCGAGUUGGGAUGCAGGUGAAAGCAUGAAAACUUGGAUGAACAGCUUCCCUUUCUACAGACACAGACGGCUUCACUUGCAUGUUUGCUGUGACAAUGGAUGGUCCUACCAGCAGGAGGCAAGGAACACAGGAAUUUGAUCCAGGCCUGUAUGCUGCAGGAUUUGUCCCCAUGACCCAGAUGUAAAUCUGAUAAAAACAGAUCUUCCCUCAAGUCACCUCUGGAGUCAGGUAGGGGAGAGAACGGCUGGUAUCAAGAGGUGAAAUGAAAGGAGCAGGUGGCAGAGACAGAGGAAAGUGUCCCUCUCUUCCCACCCCCAAGGGUUCCUAGAGUUUCACCUCACAACCCCCUCGAAGAAUCACAGCUAUUCCCUGGUGGGGAAAGAGGUUCUGGAUCCUCCGCAUACCCACUUGAUUUUCUGAGGCACCUGGGACAGGGAGAAGAUGUGACACCUGCCAGCAGCUGGAGCUCUCUGUGCUAUGAAGAAUUCCAGAGUGAAAGUUCAAGUGCAGGGAGAGACCUGCCCAGCUUGGCUGUUCCUGCCUUUCCUUCUGGGAUCUGAUAUUCUAAUGAGAUGGGCCUCUGAGUCCAGCCCAGGUUCCCCCGAGUGCAAUGGCAUGAGAGAGCUCAGGUGAAGUCCACACUGAGAUCCAGCUCUGCUGGAUGAGCACAGGUAGUCCACUUGUGAUCCUCAGACUACCUUUGUGCUGUAUGAGCAAGUGCCAUUUGAUCCACAAAGCUCCAGAUACCACAAUUGAAAAUGAUUCAUAAAGUAAGAUCAAAAAUAUGUACACUGCAAGAUUUACUAAAGCAUUGGCAUUGUCACUUUCUGAAGAAGCUGCCACUGUUUUGUCAGAAGAAAAAGGACAACUUGUUAAUACCUAUCUAAAUCAUUUAAUCCUUGAAUGUGACAGAACUGUAAGCUUCCAAGAGACCAUAACUUUGAACUGCUGACUGGUUAAAAAUGAGGAGGAGGGAGCAAAAGAUAAGUCCAAUUGUUCCAAAAGUAUACUUCUGUAUGUCCAUCAUAAAUAAGGGAGCAUAAGAUGGGUUAUAAAAUCCAAGAUUUCAACCUGGACUGAAGACUGAAGAGCUCAGAGCGGGAGCAGGAUUAGUCCAAAGACAAUGAGAGAAGAGAAAUACUGACAAAUAUAAUGGAGAGAAAUGGAAACAAGCAUCGCCAACAAUUUCCAAGAGUUUUUAUCUAAAAGAAGCAAACAGAGAAAAAUUGGGAGGGACAAAAUCUGGUCUCCACAUUUUUUAAGAUAAAAGAUUGAUAUCAUAUUUGAUAUUGCAACUGCUAUUUAUGUUGCAGUGUUUAGUCCAGUAUUGACAACAUGAAGAAUACUUAAUGAAUAUUUAAAUAAUAAAGGAAAGAAACUAA